GUCACAACUACGACGCGUAGAGCAUUUUUUAACCUACCGAUUUUGUUCGGUUGUGCUUUGGAAUUUUUGUGUUUGUGUUUUUUCUUUUAAAAUGUCGAGUUCAGAAAGUGAUAACGAAGUUUUAAUGUUACUGAAUUCAAGCGACGAUUCAAGUGAUGAUACGCGAAGUAAUAGAGUGCAUAAAACAAGAAUCAAUUAUUAUUCAGAGCUCGAUAAUCAGGAGUUUCAACUAAGAUUUCGGCUCGACAAGCAGUCUGUGCAAUUACUGUUAGGUGAAAUUUAUCCUUUUUUAAAGGAAUCAUGGAAUAUCUCCCUUACAUUACAAUUUAUCAGUUUUUUUUGGUAUUUUGGCGCGGUCCGGCCGACAUCUGGCGUUUCCUUUGUCUCUUCAUGGCGUUUUGUUCACUUUACAGUUAAAACUAAAGUAUAAUAGCCGGCAAACUUCUUGAGCAUUUGUCGACGUAGUGGGGGUAAGUUCGCGCAUGGUACACUCACGUGCAAAAACAAUAUUUACUCUGCGUCAUAAUGCUAUUAAAUUAUUAAAAUCAAUAUAUUAUGUAUUUAAUAUAGGUUAAUAAUUGUAAUAAUUUAAUCUUGGGGUAAAAUAGAUUUUCCUUCUAUUAAGUCAAAACUAGAGCUGUUGCCAGGUCUUGGUUCAGUUGAAGCGAAGCUGGUAUUUGUAAUUUUUUUUUCGUUAUCAUAAUCUUGACCAUCAUCAUCAUCACUGUUUUCAUCACCCGAGUCGCUAUCAUCGUGAUGAGUCGACAUAGGGCUCAUCGGUGUAGUUUACAACUCGGUCGGUUCGGUCUUCUUUUUUGUCUAUAAUUAAUUAUUUUUUGAAGAUAUUCGAUUCGUAGUAAUCGAAUGUUACUUUUUUCAAUUACCAGCUUCCGAUUACUUUCUGUUUUUUUUCCCAUCAUUCUUCAUUCCGAGCCAUUAAAAUUUAUAUCUUCUUUAAAUUUUUCGAAGCCUUUCUACGAUACGGAGUUUCGCUGCCUGUUAUGUAGUUAUUAUGAUAACAUCUUUUUAUUACAGAUUGAACGAAACUAUCCAUUCCGGUAACUUUCUUCUUCCCUGAUCUUUUCUUACCCGGAGUCCGAAACACGGCGAGCAAGCCAGAGUCUUUAGCUUCGUUAAUAAUGCACCUAGCAGUACUCACUGAUGUUUUUCUUGCUUCCGAAGUCUGUUUUACUUUUUCCAUAUCAUUCUUCUCCUGUUUUAUAAUGAAGCAAUAUACGUCGUACACAAUUUUUUCUACCCUUUCUUUUGAAUACUACGCCAUAGUGUAUUUUUAAUAAAAAAUCAACAAACACUCAACAUAUAGCAAUGGCAACAAAGUCAACAAGCAAUUAUAACAAAAUAUAACUUAACGAUUAAUAACGAUAGACUUUUUACUGUACGCAAGCGUACUUUUGGGAGCAAGCGGAACGAGGGCGCGGUGCGGGACGCAAGGUUCGACU